rnacentral:lncRNA from 1 species
GCAGCUCCCCUUUUUUUUCCAGACAAAGGGGUGUGAACCUACCUGGGGAUGAGGCCUGGUCUUGUGGAAACUGGACUUAGCUUCGCGGGGCAGACAGCUCUGGCCCAGGGUGGUAGGUAAU